rnacentral:rRNA from 1 species
CCUACGGGAGGCAGCAGUGGGGAAUAUUGGACAAUGGGCGAAAGCCUGAUCCAGCCAUGCCGCGUGUGUGAAGAAGGCCUUCGGGUUGUAAAGCACUUUCAGUGGGGAAGAAAGCCUUGGGGCUAAUACCCUCGAGGAAGGACAUCACCCACAGAAGAAGCACCGGCUAACUCCGUGCCAGCAGCCGCGGUAAUACGGAGGGUGCGAGCGUUAAUCGGAAUUACUGGGCGUAAAGCGCGCGUAGGCGGUCUGAUAAGCCGGUUGUGAAAGCCCCGGGCUCAACCUGGGAACGGCAUCCGGAACUGUCAGGCUAGAGUGCAGGAGAGGAAGGUAGAAUUCCCGGUGUAGCGGUGAAAUGCGUAGAGAUCGGGAGGAAUACCAGUGGCGAAGGCGGCCUUCUGGACUGACACUGACGCUGAGGUGCGAAAGCGUGGGUAGCAAACAGGACUAGAUACCCGAGUAGUC